rnacentral:misc_RNA from 1 species
GCAGGGGGUCGUCGGUUCGAUCCCGACAGGCUCCACCAUUUGAGUGAAACGACUUUGGGUCUGUAGCUCAGGUGGUUAGAGCGCACCCCUGAUAAGGGUGAGGUCGGUGGUUCGAGUCCUCCCAGACCCACCACUCUGAAUGUAGUGCACACUUAAGAACUUAUAUGGAUCAGCGUUGAGGCUGAGACAUGUUCUUUUAUAACUUGUGACGUAGCGAGCGUUUGAGAUAUCUAUCUAAACGUGUCGUUGAGGCUAAGGCGGGGACUUCGAGUCCCUAAAUAAUUGAGUCGUAUGUUCGCGUUGUUGGCUUUGUACCCCAUACAACACGGCAUGUGACCCUGAGGCAACUUGGGGUUAUAUGGUCAAGCGAAUAAGCGCACACGGUGGAUGCCUAGGCGGUCAGAGGCGAUGAAGGACGUGGUAGCCUGCGAAAAGUGUCGGGGAGCUGGCAACAAGCUUUGAUCCGGCAAUAUCCGAAUGGGGAAACCCACUGCUUCGGCAGUAUCCUGCAGUGAAUUCAUAGCUGCUGGAAGCGAACCCGGUGAACUGAAAUAUCUAAGUAACCGGAGGAAAAGAAAUCAACCGAGAUUCCCUAAGUAGUGACGAGCGAACGGGGAGCAGCCCUUAAGCUGGAAUGGCUUUAGAAAAACAAUCUGGAA